UACGUAGGGUGCAGGCGUUAAUCGGAAUUACUGGGCGUAAAGCGCACGUAGGCGGAUUUGUAAGUCAGGGGUGAAAUCCCGGGGCUCAACCUCGGAAAUGCCUUUGAUACUGCAAAUCUCGAGUCCGGAAGAGGUGAGUGGAAUUCCUAGUGUAGAGGUGAAAUUCGUAGAUAUUAGGAAGAACACCAGUGGCGAAGGCGGCUCACUGGUCCGGUACUGACGCUGAGGUGCGAAAGCGUGGGGAGCAAACAGG
rnacentral:rRNA from 1 species